UAUGUGUGUGUGUGCGUGUUUGUGUGUGUGUUAUAUAGAUUAUAUAGUGAACUUAAAAAAUCUUCUUGUGAAAAACCACUAGUCCAAUUUCAACCAAACUUGGCAGGAUUGUUUCUUGGGUGAAGGGCUUCCAAAGUUGUUCAAAGAAUUUCAUUCCUUGCAGAAAUCUGGUUGCCAUGGCAACCAAAAGGAAUUAUAAGAAUAAAUUUAAAAAAAUUUCUUGUAAAGACCCAAAAGGCCUAAAGCUUAGAUAUUUUGCAUAAGGCAUUGUCUGGUAGACCUCUAACAAGAUUGUUCAAAUUAUAGCCCUGGGGUCAAAAUUGGCCCCGCUCCGGGGUCAUUGAUUUUCACUAUAUGUACAUAUAUUAAAAACUUAAAACACCUUUUUGUAAAGACCCAAAAGGCUUAGAGCUUAGAUAUUUUGCAUAAGGCAUUGUCUGGUAGACCUCUACCCAGAUUGUUCAAAUUAUAGCCCUGGGGUCAAAAUCGGCCCGCCCCAGGGGUCAUUGGUUUAUCCUAUAUGUAUAUAGUUAAAACUUAAAAAAUCAUCUUCUCUAAAUUUACAAAGGAUAAAGUUAAGAUAUUUUGCAUGAAACAUUGUGUAGUGAACCUCUAGCAAGAUUGUUCAAAUUAUAGCCCUUGGGUCAAAAUU